GGGUUGUGAGGUUAAGCGACUAAGCGUACACGGUGGAUGCCCUGGCAGUCAGAGGCGAUGAAGGACGUGCUAAUCUGCGAAAAGCGUCGGUAAGGUGAUAUGAACCGUUAUAACCGGCGAUGUCCGAAUGGGGAAACCCAGUGCAAUUCGUUGCACUAUCGUUAACUGAAUACAUAGGUUAACGAGGCGAACCGGGGGAACUGAAACAUCUAAGUACCCCGAGGAAAAGAAAUCAACCGAGAUUCCCCCAGUAGCGGCGAGCGAACGGGGAGCAGCCCAGAGUCUGAAUCAGCUUGUGUGUUAGUGGAACGGUCUGGAAAGUCCGACGGUACAGGGUGAUAGUCCCGUACACCAAAAUGCACAGGCUGUGAACUCGAAGAGUAGGGCGGGACACGUGGUAUCCUGUCUGAAUAUGGGGGGACCAUCCUCCAAGGCUAAAUACUCCUGACUGACCGAUAGUGAACCAGUACCGUGAGGGAAAGGCGAAAAGAACCCCGGCGAGGGGAGUGAAAAAGAACCUGAAACCGUGUACGUACAAGCAGUGGGAGCACCUUCGGGUGUGACUGCGUACCUUUUGUAUAAUGGGUCAGCGACUUAUAUUCUGUAGCAAGGUUAACCAUAUAGGGGAGCCGCAGGGAAACCGAGUCUUAACUGGGCGUUAAGUUGCAGGGUAUAGACCCGAAACCCGGUGAUCUAGCCAUGGGCAGGUUGAAGGUUGGGUAACACUAACUGGAGGACCGAACCGACUAAUGUUGAAAAAUUAGCGGAUGACUUGUGGCUGGGGGUGAAAGGCCAAUCAAACCGGGAGAUAGCUGGUUCUCCCCGAAAGCUAUUUAGGUAGCGCCUCGUGAAUUCAUCUUCGGGGGUAGAGCACUGUUUCGGCUAGGGGGUCAUCCCGACUUACCAACCCGAUGCAAACUACGAAUACCGAAGAAUGUUAUCACGGGAGACACACGGCGGGUGCUAACGUCCGUCGUGAAGAGGGAAACAACCCAGACCGCCAGCUAAGGUCCCAAAGUCAUGGUUAAGUGGGAAACGAUGUGGGAAGGCACAGACAGCCAGGAUGUUGGCUUAGAAGCAGCCAUCAUUUAAAGAAAGCGUAAUAGCUCACUGGUCGAGUCGGCCUGCGCGGAAGAUGUAACGGGGCUAAACCAUGCACCGAAGCUGCGGCAGCGACACUAUGUGUUGUUGGGUAGGGGAGCGUUCUGUAAGCCUGCGAAGGUGACCUGUGAGGGUUGCUGGAGGUAUCAGAAGUGCGAAUGCUGACAUAAGUAACGAUAAAGCGGGUGAAAAGCCCGCUCGCCGGAAGACCAAGGGUUCCUGUCCAACGUUAAUCGGGGCAGGGUGAGUCGACCCCUAAGGCGAGGCCGAAAGGCGUAGUCGAUGGGAAACAGGUUAAUAUUCCUGUACUUGGUGUUACUGCGAAGGGGGGACGGAGAAGGCUAUGUUAGCCGGGCGACGGUUGUCCCGGUUUAAGCAUGUAGGCUGGUUAUCCAGGCAAAUCCGGAUAAUCAAGGCUGAGGUGUGAUGACGAGGCACUACGGUGCUGAAGUAACAAAUGCCCUGCUUCCAGGAAAAGCCUCUAAGCAUCAGGUAACAUCAAAUCGUACCCCAAACCGACACAGGUGGUCAGGUAGAGAAUACCAAGGCGCUUGAGAGAACUCGGGUGAAGGAACUAGGCAAAAUGGUGCCGUAACUUCGGGAGAAGGCACGCUGGUGUGUAGGUGAAGUCCCUGCGGAUGGAGCUGAGACCAGUCGAAGAUACCAGCUGGCUGCAACUGUUUAUUAAAAACACAGCACUGUGCAAACACGAAAGUGGACGUAUACGGUGUGACGCCUGCCCGGUGCCGGAAGGUUAAUUGAUGGGGUUAUCCGUAAGGAGAAGCUCUUGAUCGAAGCCCCGGUAAACGGCGGCCGUAACUAUAACGGUCCUAAGGUAGCGAAAUUCCUUGUCGGGUAAGUUCCGACCUGCACGAAUGGCGUAAUGAUGGCCAGGCUGUCUCCACCCGAGACUCAGUGAAAUUGAACUCGCUGUGAAGAUGCAGUGUACCCGCGGCAAGACGGAAAGACCCCGUGAACCUUUACUAUAGCUUGACACUGAACAUUGAGCCUUGAUGUGUAGGAUAGGUGGGAGGCUUUGAAGCGUGGACGCCAGUCUGCGUGGAGCCAACCUUGAAAUACCACCCUUUAAUGUUUGAUGUUCUAACGUUGGCCCCUGACCGGGGUUGCGGACAGUGUCUGGUGGGUAGUUUGACUGGGGCGGUCUCCUCCCAAAGCGUAACGGAGGAGCACGAAGGUUAGCUAAUCCUGGUCGGACAUCAGGAGGUUAGUGCAAUGGCAUAAGCUAGCUUGACUGCGAGCGUGACGGCGCGAGCAGGUGCGAAAGCAGGUCAUAGUGAUCCGGUGGUUCUGAAUGGAAGGGCCAUCGCUCAACGGAUAAAAGGUACUCCGGGGAUAACAGGCUGAUACCGCCCAAGAGUUCAUAUCGACGGCGGUGUUUGGCACCUCGAUGUCGGCUCAUCACAUCCUGGGGCUGAAGUAGGUCCCAAGGGUAUGGCUGUUCGCCAUUUAAAGUGGUACGCGAGCUGGGUUUAGAACGUCGUGAGACAGUUCGGUCCCUAUCUGCCGUGGGCGCUGGAGAAUUGAGGGGGGCUGCUCCUAGUACGAGAGGACCGGAGUGGACGCAUCACUGGUGUUCGGGUUGUCAUGCCAAUGGCACUGCCCGGUAGCUAAAUGCGGAAGAGAUAAGUGCUGAAAGCAUCUAAGCACGAAACUUGCCCCGAGAUGAGUUCUCCCUGAGACUUUAAGUCUCCUGAAGGAACGUUGAAGACGACGACGUUGAUAGGCCGGGUGUGUAAGCGCAGCGAUGCGUUGAGCUAACCGGUACUAAUGAACCGUGAGGCUUAACCUUACAACGCCGAAG
rnacentral:rRNA from 1 species